CCGUGAUAAAGUAGCAUAAUCACUCGUCAUUUAAUUGGUGACUGGAAUGAAUGGUUACACGAAUCUUUAACUGUCUCAAGAAGAAAGUUCAAUUAAUUUGAAAAAACAGUGAAGAUGCUGUUAACAAAAUUGUAAGACGAAAAGACCCUUUCGAGCUUUACUAUAAGCUUAUAGAAAAAAUCUUUAAUAAAAAUAUAAUAAAAACAAACUGUAAGCUAGUUAGUUUGGUUGGGGCGACCACCUCUAAAACAGUAUCAGAGGAAAUGUAAAGGUAUAAUAGUAAUAUUAAUUGCCUUACUGUAUACAAACAAGUUAAUCAGUUACUAUUAUGUAGGAUAUAGUGACCCGUUGAAUUAAUUUCAAAAUUCAACGACCAUGAAAAAAGUUACCGUAGGGAUAACAGGGUAAUAUUAUCAAAGAGUUCAUAUCGAUGAUGAU
rnacentral:rRNA from 1 species